rnacentral:rRNA from 1 species
UACGGGGGGGGCAAGCGGUUGUCCGGAAUUAUUGGGCGUAAAGGGCUCGUAGGCGGUUUGUCGCGUCGGGAGUGAAAUCCACUGGCUUAACUGGUGGCUUGCUUUCGAUACGGGCAGACUGGAGGUAUGCAGGGGAGAACGGAAUUCCGUGGUGUAGCGGUGAAAUGCGCAGAUAUCAGGAGGAACACCGGUGGCGAAGGCGGUUCUCUGGGCGAUGUCCUGACGCUGAGGAGCGAAGU